rnacentral:rRNA from 1 species
UACGUAGGGUGCAAGCGUUAAUCGGAAUUACUGGGCGUAAAGCGUGCGCAGGCGGCUUUGCAAGACAGAUGUGAAAUCCCCGGGCUUAACCUGGGAACUGCAUUUGUGACUGCAUGGCUGGAGUGCGGCAGAGGGGAUGGAAUUCCGCGUGUAGCAGUGAAAUGCGUAGAUAUGCGGAGGAACACCGAUGGCGAAGGCAAUCCCCUGGGCCUGCACUGACGCUCAUGCACGAAAGCGUGGGAGCAAACAGGAUUAGAAC